GAACUUGAAGAAUAGGGCUCAAGAAUCCAUCUUCUCAACUCAAAUUAGUGGGUAAAGCUUCAAUCAACGUAUGAGAGGAGUCUUGAUUUAUGGAAAGUUUCCUUCCAUAAAUCCCUUCAACUCUUAAUUUUGAAAUUGGUAAAUUGUUCAAAAACUAGAGUUUUCAUUCUAGCCAUGGGUUCUUCCUAAAAACGAUUUCAUUGGGGUAAUUGUCUUAUAUUAUGGAUGAUUUGAUGUUUAAUGGUGAUUUUUAUAGUAAAACUCCCUAUGAACCCAUGAAUUACCCCAUAACCCCAAUUUUAUGAAUUUGUGAUGGGUGUAUUGAUGCAAGAUGAAUACUAUGAAUGAUGUCUAUGAUAUUUUUGUUAUUGAAUCUUGUUUAAAUCAUGCCUAAUGUAGUAUUUCUAGGUGUGAUUGUGUGACAUGAUUCAUGACCCUUGAAGGGUUGUACAUGUUGAUGAAUGUUGUGUAUAAACUCAUGAUUCACUUAAAAAGUGAAGAUCCUAUGACUAAUGUGUAAAUUGAGGUAUUGUUGAAAGGUCGUUCUUCCCUUACCCUUACACUUGAUUAUGUAUGAAUUUUCUAGGAUGAUGAUAAUGUUGUUGUGUAGAUUGAAAGACUAUUCUCAUGAAACACUAUGAACAAUAAUGUGAAAGGUUUACUCACAUGUUAAUGUUGAUUCUAAGGUUGAAAGUACAUUUUCACUUUAUUGAAUCUAUGAGCUAUUUUAUGGGUUGUAUUGAAUGAAGGGCAAAGUAUUCCUUCACAUAUGUAAAUGCAAUUCAAGACUACUUAUGUAUAAUUUGGGAAAUAAUGCUUAGCACCGAGUGGAUAUGGUCAAUGAAGUAGAGGCCCUCCAGUCAAUACAAUAGGCCGGGUCAUCUAGAUUAUUCUCAUGAGAUGGAAGUUCAUCCACCAAUACAAUAGGUCGGGUUUCUUGAAGCAAUUUCCCUAUCUCAUAACUAUGUGCCAACAUAGGUCUUUAGAUAGUGGAUCCACCUAAAAGCUAAUACAUUUAUUUCUACCUUAGGCAAGUAGGACACCUUCUUUCGGUGUGGGGUUACAUGACACCAGAUUCUCUGUCGCUCACAUGGUCUAUGUUAGUUAUGGCUCUUCUUCCCUAUAUGACAAGAUAAUGAAUAUGAUACGAACUAUACUUAUGACUUCUUGGUGAGUUUACUUAGUAGGAGUGUGGGUAUGAGACUUCACUCUUACAUUGCACAAGGGGACUUAGUGA
rnacentral:lncRNA from 1 species